rnacentral:rRNA from 1 species
GAUGAACGCUGGCGGCGUGCCUAAUACAUGCAAGUCGAACGAAACUUCUUUAUCACCGAGUGCUUGCACUCACCGAUACAGAGUUGAGUGGCGAACGGGUGAGUAACACGUGGGCAACCUGCCCAAAAGAGGGGGAUAACACUUGGAAACAGGUGCUAAUACCGCAUAACCAUAGUUACCGCAUGGUAACUAUGUAAAAGGUGGCUAUACUACCGCUUUUGGAUGGGCCCGCGGCGCAUUAGCUAGUUGGUAGGGUAAAGGCUUACCAAGGCAAUGAUGCGUAGCCGAAUUGAGAGGUUGAUCGGCCACAUUGGGACUGAGACACGGCCCAAACUCCUACGGGAGGCAGCAGUAGGGAAUCUUCCACAAUGGGCGAAAGCCUGAUGGAGCAACGCCGCGUGGGUGAAGAAGGUCUUCGGAUCGUAAAACCCUGUUGUUAGAGAAGAAAGUGCGUGAGAGUAACUGUUCACGUUUCGACGGUAUCUAACCAGAAAGCCACGGCUAACUACGUG